GAUUAACGCUGGCGGCAUGCCUUAUGCAUGCAAGUCGAACGGCAGCACGGACUUCGGUCUGGUGGCGAGUGGCGAACGGGUGAGUAAUAUAUCGGAACGUGCCCAGUCGUGGGGGAUAACGUAGUGAAAAUUACGCUAAUACCGCAUACGAUCUACGGAUGAAAGCGGGGGAUCGCAAGACCUCGCGCGAUUGGAGCGGCCGAUAUCAGAUUAGGUAGUUGGUGAGGUAAAGGCUCACCAAGCCAACGAUCUGUAGCUGGUCUGAGAGGACGACCAGCCACACUGGGACUGAGACACGGCCCAGACUCCUACGGGAGGCAGCAGUGGGGAAUUUUGGACAAUGGACGCAAGUCUGAUCCGGCCAUUCCGCGUGCAGGACGAAGGCCUUCGGGUUGUAAACUGCUUUUGUACAGAACGAAAAGGUUUCUAUUAAUACUAGGGGCUCAUGACGGUACUGUAAGAAUAAGCACCGGCUAACUACGUGCCAGCCGCCGCCGUAA
rnacentral:rRNA from 1 species